rnacentral:rRNA from 1 species
UACAGAGGUCUCAACCGUUGUUCGGAUUCAUUGGGCGUAAAGGGUGCGUAGGCGGUCGCGUAAGUCGGAUGUGAAAUCUCAGGGCUCAACCCUGAAACUGCAUUCGAUACUGCGUGGCUAGGGUACUGGAGAGGAGACUGGAAUUACGGUGUAGCAGUGAAAUGCGUAGAUAUCGUAAGGAAGACCAGUGGCGAAGGCGAGUCUCUGGACAGUUACCGACGCUGAGGCACGAAGGCCAGGGAGCAAACGGG